AACGGGACUCUUCGGAGUUUAGUGGCGGACGGGUGAGUAACGCGUGAGAAUCUGCCCUUAGGUUGGGGACAACAGUUGGAAACGACUGCUAAUACCCAAUGUGCCGAGAGGUGAAAGGUUAACUGCCUGGGGAUGAGCUCGCGUCUGAUUAGCUAGUUGGAGUGGUAACGGCACACCAAGGCGACGAUCAGUAGCUGGUCUGAGAGGAUGAUCAGCCACACUGGGACUGAGACACGGCCCAGACUCCUACGGGAGGCAGCAGUGGGGAAUUUUCCGCAAUGGGCGAAAGCCUGACGGAGCAAGACCGCGUGAGGGAGGAAGGCCUAUUGGUUGUAAACCUCUUUUGAUAGGGAAGAACACAAUGACGGUACCUAUCGAAUCAGCAUCGGCUAACUCCGUGCCAGCAGCCGCGGUAAUACGGAGGAUGCAAGCGUUAUCCGGAUUUAUUGGGCGUAAAGCGUCCGUAGGUGGCAAACCAAGUCAGUUGUUAAAGCGUAGAGCUUAACUCUAUAAGGGCAAUUGAAACUGGUUAGCUAGAGUGCGAUAGGGGCAAGGGGAAUUCCCAGUGUAGCGGUGAAAUGCGUAGAUAUUGGGAAGAACAUCGGUGGCGAAGGCGCCUUGCUGGGUCUGCACUGACACUGAGGGACGAAAGCUAGGGGAGCGAAAGGGAUUAGAUACCCCUGUAGUCCUAGCCGUAAACGAUGGAUACUAGGCGUUGUCCGUAUCGACCCGAGCCGUGCCG
rnacentral:rRNA from 1 species